rnacentral:sRNA from 1 species
AAUUACGUUGGCGAAUCAAAAUUUAGAUAAACCUAGAAAUAUACCUAUUAAUCUCUGGGUCAAUGGUAAGCAAAAUACUAUAUCUACAGACAAAGUUUCUACUCAAAAAAAGAGGUAACUGCUCAAGAGAUUGAUAUUAAGUUACGAAAAUACCUAC